UACAGAGGUCUCAAGCGUUGUUCGGAUUCAUUGGGCGUAAAGGGUGCGUAGGUGGCGCCGUAAGUCAGGUGUGAAAUUUCGGAGCUUAACUCCGAAACUGCAUUUGAUACUGCGGUGCUUGAGGACUGGAGAGGAGACUGGAAUUUACGGUGUAGCAGUGAAAUGCGUAGAGAUCGUAAGGGAAGACCAGUGGCGAAGGCGGGUCUCUGGACAGUUCC
rnacentral:rRNA from 1 species